GAUGAACGCUAGCUUCAGGCUUAACACAUGCAAGUCGAUGGACUGGCGCUCGGGUGAGUAACCCGUAUCCAACCUGCCCUUUACUCGGGGCUAGCCUUUCGAAAGUAGGAUUAAUACCCUAUAUUAAGGAUGGGGAUGCGUUCUCUUAGGUUUUUGGUGAGGUAACGGCGAACCAAGCCUUCGAUGGAUAGGGGUGCUGAGAGGAAGGUCCCCAACAUUGGAACUGAGGCACGGUCCAAACUCCUGCGGGAGGCAGCAGGGAGGAAGAUGGGUCAAAGGGCGCUAGCCUGAACCAUCCAAGUAGCGUGAAGGAUGAAGGCUUAUGGGGCGUAAACUUCUUAUAUAAAAGAAUAGGUAGUAAAUGAAUAAGGAUCGGCUAACUCCGUGCCAGCCGCCGCGGUAAUUC
rnacentral:rRNA from 1 species